GCGCUUCACGUCAGUCAGACCUGCGCUCCUCUACCUCGCUAAGCCGGCCGCCGAAACGAAACCUCUCUCUCCGCAUUUGCAGCAACGGAAGCAUUUUUCUUCAGACCACCUUCCUUGGGGCCUCACCCUGUGGUCAAGAGACCCUCGAGCUCAACCUGAAGAAGCGAAAGUAGCAGACGCUGUCACAUGUGCAAGGAAAAGAUGUCUACCCCAGGGGAAGCCGUGUCACACGCGUUUCCUACGCGGCAGCCUCGAAGCACGCGCUGGCGCCCACCACAACGUGGAUUCCUUCCUGUGAGGAACAAGCGGGGCCUCUGCAAACUCUUGUUUGAAGAGCCGUUCUCCACAGGCUGCAGCUACCAAGACCAUCCUGUAAUUCCUGGUUCUUUUCAUUGCUUCCCUAGCCUGUAAUUCAGUUAAUUAUUUAUUAAUUUAGUUCUGCCUUCUGGUUAGUAAAACAUGAGGUUUCUUCAGCUACAUCACUAACCACUUAGAAGGAUUAUUUGCAAUCUGGUUAGUGUCCACUUUACGUUUUCUGGGUUUUUAAAUAGAAAAACUCCCUGUGACAUUGAAACUGGGUAAGGAAAGGGCAGGUUGGUUACGUGCGAUGCUCACCCGUCUCCAAGCACAAGCAAACACUGGGUGCGUCAGCCACACAGCUGGUCCGGCAGGAUCACGAGCAGCCGGGAAGUCCAACUCGGGGACACGGACAGGGCCAGCCACCAAACCCGUGCUUAAAACCAUCGUAACGAUAUAUUUUUACUCAUGGAUACGAAGGACAGUGAGGAACAGCCGUGUCCCUGAAGCUGCUUUCAUAAGAAGGUUUUCAAAACUAAACAAAAAUGAAACUCAAGGACAAAACAUGUGUUUGAUAAAUACUGCUUUCUGUUACUCCAACCUCAGGGAUAAACUUGGAGAGGAGCCACCCUGCCUGUGAUGAGUCAGGCUUUCUACACCUCUAAUCAUCCUUGCUACAAUCACCCAGAUCCUCUCCAGUUGCUACACACUCUUCUUGAAAUGAGGACCCGAAGCGGACACGCUACUGCUGCUUACCAACACUGAGCAGAGCAGAGCAUUUCUACACAUCAUGACUCCCAGAAGGACACCAUGAGCGGUAAAGUGGGAAUUUGCAUUACGCGUACCCGGCAAAGCCUGAGCUGCCGUAGUUAUAGGGCUACAAGAAGCUGCAGAGCUGCCAUCGCAUCACACGACGUGAGUCAUUACGUGUGAGCACAAAUUAUCCGAACUGGCACACAUGGCCCUGUCCCCAGGCCGGACCGUGUGACGUGAAAUUUAAGCUGGAAACUUCCUCUCUCACCCCGCGCUUGGCAGCGCUGCAGCCCCCCUGCAACCCUGGCCCCAGCGGGGGCCAGCCCUGGAGCCGGAGGGAGGCUGCAGCUCCUGCUGUCACCCAGCAUGCCGGCACAGCAGGGCGGGUGGCCCACAGCAAGUGGUCACAACAGCAGCCAGAGUCCGAUGGGGCUGAAUCUGUAGUAUGGAGUCAUGUGAAAUGGGUCCUCUCCUUAAUCCAGCUUCUAGUAUCCAUCAUUGCAUCAUCUUUUAGAAAUGAUUUAGAAAUCCCUCACACUGUGCAGUCUUACUGGUGAAAGCGGAAGGUGGAGCAAAUUUAGUUUCAUCAUUUUUGUUGUUUUAACAGAGCCUCUUGCUGCCUUUUUGAAUUAAUUGAAUUUUACAUGUGACAACCAGUAUGACCAACAGAGGACAGCACAUCCAUUUCUUUUAAUGAUCAAAAGAUCUUGAACUUGAAGCUGCCAUUCACUUUUUUCGCUCAGGAAGUGAGAGUGACAGGCAGAGUAGAGCAGUGUGCCGAGCCCUCUGCAGGAAGUGAAGCUGAAUUUCACAAAUCUUCCCUUUCUGACGUCUCCCGAAUUUCUAGGAAUGCCCCUUCCCUGUUACUAUAUUUGGAGGUAGUUUCUAGGAAAAAAAAAAA